AUCCGAUGCUAUUCUAGAGAUAGAAAGUUACUUCGGUACAUCGGUGACAGGUGGUGCAUGGUUGUCGUCAGCUCGUGUCGUGAGAUGUUGGGUUAAGUCCCGCAACGAGCGCAACCCCUAUUGUUAGUUGCCAUCAUUCAGUUGGGCACUCUAGCGAGACUGCCGGUAAUAAACCGGAGGAAAGUGGGGGAUGACGUCAAAUCAUCAUGCCCCUUAUGACCUGGGCUACACACGUGCUACAAUGGUUGGUACAACGAGUUGCGAGUCGGUGACGGCGAGCUAAUCUCUUAAAGCCAAUCUCAGUUCGGAUUGUAGGCUGCAACUCGCCUACAUGAAGUCGGAAUCGCUAGUAAUCGCGGAUCAGCACGCCGCGGUGAAUACGUUCCCGGGCCUU
rnacentral:rRNA from 1 species